AUUGAACGCUGGUGGCAUGCCUUACACAUGCAAGUCGAACGGUGAGGCAGGAGCUUGCUCCUGUGGAUCAGUGGCGAACGGGUGAGUAACACGUGAGCAAUCUGCCCCGAACUCUGGGAUAAGCGCUGGAAACGGCGUCUAAUACCGGAUACGACGCGCGACGGCAUCGUCUGCGCGUGGAAAGAACCUUGGUUCGGGAUGAGCUCGCGGCCUAUCAGCUUGUUGGUGAGGUAAUGGCUCACCAGGGCGACGACGGGUAGCCGUCCUGAGAGGGGGACCGGCCAGACUGGGACUGAGACACGGCCCAGACUCCUGCGGGAGGCAGCAGUGGGGAAUAUUGCACAAUGGGCGCAAGCCUGAUGCAGCAACGCCGCGUGAGGGACGACGGCCUUCGGGUUGUAAACCUCUUUUAGUAGGGAAGAAGCGAAAGUGACGGUACCUGCAGAAAAAGCACCGGCUAACUACGUGCCAGCCGCCGCCGUAAUAC
rnacentral:rRNA from 1 species